rnacentral:rRNA from 1 species
GAUGAACGCUGGCGGCGUGCCUAAUACAUGCAAGUCGAGCGAACAGACGAGGAGCUUGCUCCUCUGACGUUAGCGGCGGACGGGUGAGUAACACGUGGAUAACCUACCUAUAAGACUGGGAUAACUUCGGGAAACCGGAGCUAAUACCGGAUAAUAUAUUGAACCGCAUGGUUCAUUAGUGAAAGUCGGUUUUGCUGUCACUUAUAGAUGGAUCCGCGCCGCAUUAGCUAGUUGGUAAGGUAACGGCUUACCAAGGCAACGAUGCGUAGCCGACCUGAGAGGGUGAUCGGCCACACUGGAACUGAGACACGGUCCAGAAUCCUACGGGAGGCAGCAGUAGGGAAUCUGCCGCAAAGGGCGAAAGCCUGACGGAGAAACGCAGCGUGAGUGAAGAAGGUCUUCGGAUCGUAAAACUCUGUUAGUAGGGAAGAACAAAUGUGUAAGUAACUAUGAACGUCUUGACGGUACCGAAUCAGAAAGCCACGGCUAACUACGU